GAUGAACGCUCGCUACAGGCUUAACACAUGCAAGUCGAGCGGUAACAGAGAGAAGCUUGCUUCUCUGCUGACGAGCGGCGGACGGGUGAGUAAUGCCUAGGAAUCUGCCUAGUAGUGGGGGAUAACUUGCCGAAAGGUAAGCUAAUACCGCAUACGUCCUACGGGAGAAAGGAGGGGACCUUCGGGCCUUUCGCUAUUAGAUGAGCCUAGGUCGGAUUAGUUAGUUGGUGAGGUAAUGGCUCACCAAGACCGCGAUCCGUAACUGGUCUGAGAGGAUGAUCAGUCACACUGGAACUGAGACACGGUCCAGACUCCUACGGGAGGCAGCAGUGGGGAAUAUUGGACAAUGGGGGGAACCCUGAUCCAGCCAUGCCGCGUGUGUGAAGAAGGUCUUAGGAUUGUAAAGCACUUUAAGUUGGGAGGAAGAGCAGUUAACUAAUAUUUGACUGUUUUGACGUUACCGACAGAAUAAGCACCGGCUAACUUCGUG
rnacentral:rRNA from 1 species